rnacentral:rRNA from 1 species
GGCCUAACACAUGCAAGUCGAACGAUGAUGCCAGCUUGCUGGUGGAUUAGUGGCGAACGGGUGAGUAACACGUGAGUAACCUGCCCUUAACUCUGGGAUAAGCCUGGGAAACUGGGUCUAAUACCGGAUAUGACUCCUCAUCGCAUGGUGGGGGGUGGAAAGCUUUAUUGUGGUUUUGGAUGGACUCGCGGCCUAUCAGCUUGUUGGUGAGGUAAUGGCUCACCAAGGCGACGACGGGUAGCCGGCCUGAGAGGGUGACCGGCCACACUGGGACUGAGACACGGCCCAGACUCCUACGGGAGGCAGCAGUGGGGAAUAUUGCACAAUGGGCGCAAGCCUGAUGCAGCGACGCCGCGUGAGGGAUGACGGCCUUCGGGUUGUAAACCUCUUUCAGUAGGGAAGAAGCGAAAGUGACGGUACCUGCAGAAGAAGCGCCGGCUAACUACGUGCCAGCAGCCGCGGUAAUACGUAGGGCGCAAGCGUUAUCCGGAAUUAUUGGGCGUAAAGAGCUCGUAGGCGGUUUGUCGCGUCUGCCGUGAAAGUCCCGGGGCUCAACUCCGGAUCUGCGGUGGGUACGGGCAGACUAGAGUGAUGUAGGGGAGACUGGAAUUCCUGGUGUAGCGGUGAAAUGCGCAGAUAUCAGGAGGAACACCGAUGGCGAAGGCAGGUCUCUGGGCAUUAACUGACGCUGAGGAGCGAAAGCAUGGGGAGCGAACAGGAUUAGAUACCCUGGUAGUCCAUGCCGUAAACGUUGGGCACUAGGUGUGGGGGACAUUCCACGUUUUCCGCGCCGUAGCUAACGCAUUAAGUGCCCCGCCUGGGGAGUACGGCCGCAAGGCUAAAACUCAAAGGAAUUGACGGGGGCCCGCACAAGCGGCGGAGCAUGCGGAUUAAUUCGAUGCAACGCGAAGAACCUUACCAAGGCUUGACAUGGACCGGACCGGGCUGGAAACAGUCCUUCCCCUUUGGGGCCGGUUCACAGGUGGUGCAUGGUUGUCGUCAGCUCGUGUCGUGAGAUGUUGGGUUAAGUCCCGCAACGAGCGCAACCCUCGUUCCAUGUUGCCAGCGCGUAAUGGCGGGGACUCAUGGGAGACUGCCGGGGUCAACUCGGAGGAAGGUGGGGACGACGUCAAAUCAUCAUGCCCCUUAUGUCUUGGGCUUCACGCAUGCUACAAUGGCCGGUACAAAGGGUUGCGAUACUGUGAGGUGGAGCUAAUCCCAAAAAGCCGGUCUCAGUUCGGAUUGGGGUCUGCAACUCGACCCCAUGAAGUCGGAGUCGCUAGUAAUCGCAGAUCAGCAACGCUGCGGUGAAUACGUUCCCGGGC